CUGACAGAUGGAUCGACAGCAGCUGUCCACCAGGACGCAUGUGCUCGGCCUUCCUAGGGGCUGGGCUCGUGCUCAUGGGAUGGUGUCAACCCAAGAGAAGGGGUCUUAACUUGCAAACCCUCGAAUACCAGAAAACGGCAGCUGCAAAGGGAGAAGAUAAGAACAAGGGAAAUUUUAGUAUUUUAACUUUUCACUUCUGUAUGGGUAAGCACAAAAUCCCAGAAGCAGAGGGCAGGCUAAUUGGGUGAUCAAAGGCACAGGACAGGGAGCACGCCAGGAGCUGACAGUCCCGUUAGCAGAAGCAUGUGAGCUCGGGAGCAGCUGUUCCUACACCCCAGAGGUGCAGGAUGCGGGGCGUUGCAAACCACACGGGCCCGCGUUCUCCUCACCUCCGGGCAAUGACCGUGUGGACGAAGGCUAACAUGCUUUUCCUCCGUCAAUCUUUGAAUGAAAUGUGCCUGCUGGUUCAGAGCUUGUCUUUAAGGCGGUGUGAGAACAGGCCUGGGGAGAGACGUCCUGGAAGCCUGCUGUACACCAGGCACGUGGCUUUAGACAGACACUAACUAAACCAUCCCAAACAAAUGAACUUGGAGUGAGGAACAUGGCUGAGUCCAGGCCUCAGCGCCCAGAUGUGGCUCCGGGAGAAAGACUGGUCUGCAUCUCAGGAGGGCUAGAGCAAGUUCUGAGCUGCUCUGCGGCCAGGGUGGGCUCAUUCAUCCCUGCACCCCAACUCCCAGUCCUGUUCAGAACCAUCUAUUGAAUGAGCACAUGAAUGCAGACAUGAAUGAAAUCAUGGCAUAUUGCCCUAUCCCUGGGUCUAUGAAGAACAGAGGAAAAGGAAUUCCAGGAUACCACUUCACCAUUCCAGCCUUUCCUGCUCCACCCCAGGCCUCUGACUGCGCUCGGCCACGCCCCGGCCCUGCCUCCUGUCUGUCAGUACCAGCACAAAGAUGCAAAGUCCAGUCAAAGCACUGACAGUUCUGAAGGAACAAUAAGACACAGUGAUGAAAGGAAAUACAUGAGUUUGCAGAAAACUCGCGUUACGUCUGUUUCAUCUGCCUAUUUUGUGAAUAAUGGCUGACAUCCCUUCAAUCAACACUGGCUGCUCUGAGCAGCUCCUGAGAGCUGGUUUUUUAUUUCCUUUCACAGUCUUUCCCAGAACUCUGCAAUCCCCAGAGGUUACAAAUCUGUGUUGGGUGCUUUCUCUGCUAAAGAAGAGUUUUCUAAUGGCACAGUUGAGAUUUCGAAAAAGUCAGCUUUGAGAACUUUCGUAAGUACUAAAUCACGUAUUCAGCACACUGAAAGCAUUGGAAAGAACCCACUGUGCACGAGAAUUUUGAAGCCCAGGGCUCUGUGACUGGUUGGAUGCUGGAGCCCUCCUUUAAAGGACGGAGGCAACUCAACCAGCUACAUUUCAUUUUCCUUGGCAGUGGCACCCACUGUUCUCAGGCCAUGAAACUUGGGAACAGAUUAUGGCUUCACCCAAAUCAAAGAAAUGGAUUGGUCACGUUGCUCUAAGACUUCAUGCUUCUCAGAGCUUCUGACUCCAGACAGACAGUGCCUCUGCAUUCUGCUGGCCAAGACAUGAGGGGUAUAAGACCAAAAGUGAAAAUGUGUGAGAUACUGAAUUUCACUCCCUGCCCAGCAAUUGAAAGUGUAUUUAUCAUCAGCUCCUUCUCCCUGAUCUAUUUUCCCAUUAAAAAAUAACGACUUGGGUUCU